GUGGGGGCUGUGCCAAGAUGGCGGCCGGGCGGGGGCCGGGGACCGGAGCGGUAGGGCUGAGAGUCUCCGCGCACCUCGCCCUCUCCUUCUCAGCCCUGGAGGAGGCGGGCAGCUCCGGCAUCCGCCGCCUCACCGGGACGCAGCUGCGCGACGACCCCAGCAGCGACACGGCGGCAGCCGAUGGAUGCCAGUGGAGAAGGGAAACUGCUGGGAAUGAGAAGAUCACUGUUGAAGCAGAGCACACUGCAAACAUGAUGUGCUCUUUCAUGCUUGAAGCUGGAUAAAUCUCUCUGUCUCAGCAGGUGGAAAGUGAAACCCAGGCCUGGAGUAAUUCUGGUGGUUUCUGUGGUUAAUCCCCAGGUGCUGCUCCUCACUCCUCAGAGACUCAUGGCACUUCUGGGCUUUGCUCUCUUUGUUUUGGUGAUCUCAGUAGCACAUUUUACACUGAAGUGUAGUCCAGCAGCCCUGGGGCCGCUCAAAAUCCUGCUUCACCUUCAUUGCUGGCAUUUCUUGUCUGGACAGUUUGGUUUUACUUGAUGCCUUGUGCUCAAAUGCCAUUCCUUACUCCUGCUCUUGCUGAGGACACAGUGGGUUGGGGCUGGGCCCUGCCUGGAGCACAGAAGGAUGGGAUUGCAAGGAGCUUCCUUCCAAACUGGGAAAACACAAGGAGCCUGAUGAGACAGGCAGAGACUGUGCCCAGUGCCUGGCAGUCUGCCUUUGUCACAGCUCCAGGGGCACAGUCUGCUCCUGCAGCCCCUCCCUCUCUGCCUAUCCCAUGCCUUUGGGAUCUGUAUUUCCUGAAAAUAAAUGGAAUUUCACCCUU